AAGGUAUAUUCUGUAAAAGUUCUCGAUUCACAUCGAAUACCCUCCCUAUAAAUGGAUAAUAAUGGAAAUAACAUGUUUUUUCGAAAUGGACUACAUACGAAAUUUUAUUUUGGAAGAACAGUCGAUGUUGCUUUUCAAAAAUCGUAAACUUUGCCAAAAAUUGAACUUUUACCCAAAAGACGGUAAAUCUACAGUGAAAUGAAUGAAAAUAUAUGGAUACAUACUGCCUUCAAGCCAAACUUUGUUUUAUCUUUGUGCUAAGAAACUUUUUUGUUGAAUCGUGCGUGUUUACUGUUAAAACAUGAAGAUAUUAUAUAAGUAUGGUGUAUAAAGAAUUCAAGAAACAUUUGUCAACAAACAAAAGUGAAUUUUCAAAAAAUGCAUGCGCAAGAACAUCGACAUGUGAUGAAUAUACAUUAGUGAAAUGCGUUUGAUGAAAUUUCCUUCAAAAAUCUUAAUGAAUGAUUUAUACAUUGUGCACUCAUAAAUGGAUACAUCAAAAUGAUAUCAUUAUCAAUGACAUGUACGAUGAAAGACGCUACACCUAAAGGGAGAAACGUUUUGUGCAGAGGUUUUCACAAAGUAUGUUUGAAUUGAGUACCUGUUCUAAGACAGUUUACUUUUUCAAGAGGAUGGAGCUUUUGAGGCUUGCAAGGAAAUGAGAAUUCAAGUAUUACUUCACUUGGUACUUCAGAGCAAGAAAAAGUCAGAAGAAUUGCUGAAGCAAGAAUUCCGGAGCUUUCAAUAACGAAAGUUAGUUCAUUAAAAACCAAGAUAGCCAGUAAAAAAAAUUUUACACCAGUAACUUUCAAAGUUUUAUCUUAAAAUGUAUAAUAUUUAUUGCCUCUCUUAUGUUAAAAAAAAUUGAAUUGGAACAAAUAAAAGUUUUUAUGACAAGGAAUUAUACUAUUUUUAUUUUCAAUGAGCAUGGAUUAAUUUCACAGUUGAUGAAGGAACCAGGUAAAAAAAGAUAUAGCACGGGAAAUCAAUUUGGUGAAACCCCAAAUGAAAGUAUAAAUCUUGUUGAAACUUGUCUCAUGUGAGCCAUUGAUUGGUUUCCAAAGUACAACUUCAAAUAAAAUUCUGUCUUGAAGCAAUUUUAUUCUUGGACCCUUAAUGUGGAAUUAGUGAAACUAGAAAAGCUCACAGAAUAAC